rnacentral:rRNA from 1 species
UACGUAGGGACCGAGCGUUGUCCGGAAUCAUUGGGCGUAAAGAGCGUGUAGGCGGCCACUUAAGUCCUGCGUGAAAUCUUGCGGCUCAACCGCAAGCGGUCGUGGGAAACUGGGUGGCUAGAGUGCGGGAGAGGAGAGUGGAAUUCCUGGUGUAGCGGUGGAAUGCGCAGAUAUCAGGAAGAACACCAGUGGCGAAAGCGGCUUCCUGGUCCAGCACCGACGUUCAGGCACGAAAGCGUGGGGAGCAAACAGG